rnacentral:rRNA from 1 species
AGCUCCUGUCCGGAAGAAAAGAAGAAGCUCGAGUUCCGGUGGUGUCCAUCAGAUCAUAGCAAGGCUUGCUUCUGCCUCCUCUAGACCUUUAGCAAGCUAACUAACUACUUUAGGUCGAUCAAGCGCGCGCAUAUUAGCCGAUGGGUUCAAAGCUUUCUUCAAACUCCGCCGACAGCGUCGACCGCUUCGACGUCCAUGGGCCAGACCACCUCAAGGAGAUUGACUGGUAUGUUCUAUGCGCCCACCCGAUUUAUUUAGCUACUCGCGCUAGGCGAAAGCAUCAUAUGUAUCCACCGCGAGCUCUUUUAUUGUACCCGGCCGGUAAUUAAUAUGGGCCGUCUAAUCUCUAAGUCCAACGCUGGUGAUCGAUCUAUACCGCACAAUUGGGCGAGCACCAUCCUCAGCAGUAUUCUGCAGCACUUCCAUUCCGCCUGCACCAGGUUUUUUUUUCUCGACCAAGUUUUUCGGAAACUAGUUGAAAUCUGGUCUUCCCGCUACCCACCGAGAAAAGUAGACACCGAACAAUUUGUUUGAAAAAAAAUUGAAUUUGAACUGUGCAAAUGAUCAUAUAACAUACAUAUGCUAACCUUUUUUUUGCGGGUAAACAUACAUACGCUAACCCGCAAAAAAAAAAAACAUACAUACGCUAACCUUAGCAGAGAACAGACGAUAAUAUACACUACUAUUUUAUCUGAGCCGGUGGCCGUUUUGCAGCUAAAAGGACAAAAAGAUUACUGGCCAAGAGUUCGAUCCCACGACCUGUGUGAGCGUCGACAGCGUGGGAUAGAAACUAGUUCGUGAACAACAUGUUGAAAAAACUGUAUUUUAACACUUUUGUAAUUUUGAAUUCAAAAGUCGUUUGAAUAUUUCCGAUGAACAAAUCCAAAAUUUCAGAGAUUUUCCGAAAAUCGGAUAUUCCGGCCACGACCAAAAAAUAAACGGGAUCGAAAAAGAAAAAACUUCGCACCAGUACACGUCUCGUGAGUGUAAUUUAGGGAGACAGAAAUCAGACUGCCUCCCGAUCAACCAAGCCAACCCUUCGUCUUCAGUCUUCACAUCUCCCGCAUGGCUGCACGCACGCCGGCACGCGCCCGUUAGUUCGGAUUACUGCGGCCACGUGGUCGCCUCCAUAUUUCACGCCUCCUCUGCGGGCGGCCGCCGCCGCAUAUCGUCUUCUUCUGCGAGCCCUCGUCCCUUUCCUCGGCCAUGCUAACGGCCAUGCACUCCAGAACGUGCUCCUCUUCUUCGGCCGUACCGCCCCGUAGCAGCCCGCGACUAGGGAAAUUAGAUGUGUAGUGCCUAUUUCCGAAGCUAUGAAUCGACGGAAUGCAUAAAUCAACCAAAACACAGCAUCCCAAUCGACCAGGAAGAAAUCAAAAACAAUAAGACUAGUACUCUGAGUUGAGUGAUGAACCACCAAUCCGCCAUCGUACCAAGACAGAGGAGGUGGGAUAGAUUGCGGUCAGUAGUCUCUCUUUUUUUCCGGGGAGCGGCCUGUACUGACCAGCACGCGGCCGUGGUGUGACUGUGUGAGAGCGAUGUGUGCCCCGGCGGGAGAUGCGGCUGGAUGUGCAGCGAGGCGGCAGCGAGGUUGACACACGCCCGGUCUAGGUCAAGCGCGCGGGGGGAGGGUGGUGGCCGGAGCACGCCGGUAUAUAGGGAUGCAACAGCGAGUUCGCCGAUCGCCUUUUCUUCUUCCAAGUAUAACGAACAGACCGACCGCUGAUGGGCUGAAAUCAACGGUUGAGGUUGAUGAUUAUAUACUGCUCCCUCACCUCCGUAGCAGUACAGGGUACCACACCGAAUCACGUACAUGUGUCUGCAGCCGCACCAGUUAUAGCAUUGCAUAAGCUGACUUCUCUAUCAAUGUCACAUGGACAACGAGGAACACCGCCGCCACAUCGCCACCUGCCUCGUCAAAGGCGUUUACGUCCACGAGAAGGAGAGAGCAGCGAUGAACAGGACGGAGAAGCUCGCGCCGGCGUGGUGGGAAAGCUUUGGCUUCCGCCUAGAGAAGGAACUCAGAGAGCAGAUAUCCUUCUCCAUCUCCGACACCAUCUCCGACACCAUCUUCAACACCAUCGCCGACAACAUCUACGGUGCCAUCUUCGGCACCAACUACGGUGCCAUCUCCGACACCAUCUACGGUGCCAUCUUCGAGUACGUGCCCAGCCCAGAGCCCGGCGCGCGCCGGCACCGGUGCGCUCCACGGUAUGUCGUCGCCUUCAGGGGCACCAUGCAAUUCGCAAGCACCCCGAUAGGAAGGUGCCGGCGAAAGACUUCUGGCUUGACGCCAAUAUAGUGGCCAACACAAUGAACGACCGCACGCGCUACAAGCUAGCUCGAGGAGCGGUCGAGGAACUUAUGGUUGGCCAAACCCCAGACCCGAAGCGCUGCCUUGACGUUUGGCUCGCCGGGCACUCUCUCGGCGGUUCGCUGGCGCUGGAAGUGGGGCGGGACAUGAUGGUGCAGGGGCUCAACCUGCCGACCUUCCUCUUCAAUCCGCCGCAGGUGUCGUUGACACCACUACUCAACUUGCUGAACGCGACGGAGGUGGCCAAGUGGGACCUGCACUUCACGAGUUUCGUCUUGAAGGUCGCUGUGGGACAUUUCUCCGAAUCCCGACGGGACCACAUGGAAGAGCUGUUCAGCAAGCUUGAACCGUGGGUGCCGAAUCUGUACGUGAACGAGAAUGACUGGAUCAGCCAGGGCUUCAUCGACUACUUGGAGUUGCGGCAGAAGUUCCAGGAGCGAUUCCCCAAUGCUGGCGCCGUGUGGAUGACAAUGUCGUACCGAGACUUGGUCCACCGCCUGCUGGUCGACGGUAAGGAGCAGCCGCACCUCCUGCCAUCGGCGACGCUGUGGAAAAGCAGGCUCCAUCCCCGUGAGCACAGUCUCGACCAGUUGUUGAAACCGGACAGUGAGCUCGGAUUGGGCGCCACGCCUUAUAGGUACACUCUACCUGAAGCGUAAACUACUUCUAGUUUUAUGCCGGCUAGCUGUUGCUCCUUGUCGAAGAUUGUGUACCUUUUUUUUUUGAACAAAUGCAGUUUAUUGCCAUAGCGUUUUCUGGUUAAACCACAUGAAAAUGGUGAUAUCAGAUACCAGUUUAAAAAAAGAGAAUUGUAACUUCUCAUUAGUUAUACGUUUCUCCAUUUUAUCAAUUUUAUGUUGUCCUGUAAAAUGUUUGAUUUGUAAAUAUAUUCUUGAACCUUGGGUUCAAAGCUUCUAAGCCUCACUGUGAACUAUGCGUUUCUCUGGCAUUCCUUUCCCCCCGAUCUCCCCCACCUCUGUAAAUGCAUCUAUAAUUUAACCACACUAAUGUCCAGAUUUUUUUGCUUUUUGUGAGAAUUCCCAGUAUAUAGCAUCACAGAGUUCACAAAAAAAUUGAUCUAUUACUAAUCAAAC